rnacentral:rRNA from 1 species
UAGAGUUUGAUCCUGGCUCAGAUUGAACGCUGGCGGCAUGCUUUACACAUGCAAGUCGAACGGCAGCGCGGGCUUCGGCCUGGCGGCGAGUGGCGAACGGGUGAGUAAUAUAUCGGAACGUACCCAAGAGUGGGGGAUAACGUAGCGAAAGUUACGCUAAUACCGCAUACGAUCCAAGGAUGAAAGCAGGGGACCGCAAGGCCUUGUGCUCCUGGAGCGGCCGAUAUCUGAUUAGCUAGUUGGUGAGGUAAAGGCUCACCAAGGCAACGAUCAGUAGCUGGUCUGAGAGGACGACCAGCCACACUGGAACUGAGACACGGUCCAGACUCCUACGGGAGGCAGCAGUGGGGAAUUUUGGACAAUGGGGGCAACCCUGAUCCAGCAAUGCCGCGUGGGUGAAGAAGGCCUUCGGGUUGUAAAGCUCUUUUGUCAGGGAAGAAAAGGGAGUGGCUAAUAUCCAUUCCUGCUGACGGUACCUGAAGAAUAAGCACCGGCUAACUACGUGCCAGCAGCCGCGGUAAUACGUAGGGUGCAAGCGUUAAUCGGAAUUACUGGGCGUAAAGCGUGCGCAGGCGGUUUCGUAAGUCUGUCGUGAAAUCCCCGGGCUUAACCUGGGAAUGGCGAUGGAGACUGCGAGACUAGAGUUUGGCAGAGGGGGGUAGAAUUCCACGUGUAGCAGUGAAAUGCGUA